rnacentral:tmRNA from 1 species
GGGGUUGACCCGGAUUCGACGUGGGUUGCUAAGCAGUGCAGGGCAUACCGAGGAUUCAGGUUCCCUCGUAAAUCCAUCUGAACAAAUAUAGUUGCAAACGACGAAACUUUCGCUUUAGCCACUUAAUCCCGGCUGAACGCCGCAUCGAAGCGCUUCUCGGUCGGGCUGGGUAACCGGCAGCAGCGUCACCUAGAGAAGAUCUUUGCUUGUGAUCUUACGUGCUUUACGUAGACUUGGGCGAGUAAGGCCAUUUUCUUGGCGAAUCUUUUCCAAGUAAGGCCCUGCCGACUCUGGCACCUCAACAGUAAACUUUAGACCAAGCUCACUAAUAAGCUUAAUGACUCGACCUAUCUGCGCUGUUUCUUUGCCGUACUCAACAUCACCAACGAAAACAGGACCAACUCCAGCC